GGAGUUGCUCUUGAUUUAAGGUCCCCCAAGACCCCAACGCAUGUUGAAAGGACGAGAGCGCGGUGGAUUUGUAUUUUGGAGGGAAUAUGAAAUACUGAAAAUUGUCGAGAGAGAGGGAGAGGACGAAGAGUGAGAAAUCUGAAAUAGUAGGACUGUAGAGAGAGAGGGGGAAGAAGAGAGAGAGAGAGAGAGAGAGAGAGAGAGAGAGAGAGAG
rnacentral:lncRNA from 1 species